CCUACGGGCGGCAGCAGUGAGGAAUAUUGGUCAAUGGCCGGGAGGCUGAACCAGCCAAGUCGCGUGAGGGAAGAAGGCCCUGCGGAUUGUAAACCUCUUUUGUCAGGGAGCAAGGUGCAGGUCGGGACCUGCUGUGAGAGUACCUGAAGAAAAAGCAUCGGCUAACUCCGUGCCAGCAGCCGCGGUAAUACGGAGGAUGCGAGCGUUAUCCGGAUUUAUUGGGUUUAAAGGGUGCGCAGGCGGAGGCACAAGUCAGCGGUAAAAGCCCGGGGCUCAACCCCGCUCCGCCGUUGAAACUGGGUCCCUUGAGUGGGAGAGGGGUAUGCGGAAUGCGUGGUGUAGCGGUGAAAUGCAUAGAUAUCGCGCAGAACUCCGAUCGCGAAGGCAGCCUACCGGCGCGAAACUGACGCUCAUGCACGAAAGCGUGGGUAUCGAACAGGAUUAGAUACCCGGGUAGUC
rnacentral:rRNA from 1 species